UACGGAGGAUGCAAGCGUUAUCCGGAUUCAUUGGGUUUAAAGGGUGCGUAGGCGGGCUAUUAAGUCAGUGGUGAAAUCCUGCAGCUUAACUGCAGAACUGCCGUUGAUACUGAUAGUCUUGAGUUUGGUUAAGGUAGGCGGAAUGUGUAAUGUAGCGGUGAAAUGCUUAGAUAUUACACAGAACACCAAUUGCGUAGGCAGCUUACUGAGCCGACACUGACGCUGAGGCACGAAAGCGUGGAGAUCAAACA
rnacentral:rRNA from 1 species